rnacentral:rRNA from 1 species
UGCCAGACUCCUACGGGAGGCAGCAGUGAGGAAUAUUGGUCAAUGGGCGAGAGCCUGAACCAGCCGAGUCGCGUGAGGGAGUACUGCCCUAUGGGUUGUAAACCUCUUUUGUCGGGGAGCAAAAGCCGGACGUGUCCGGCUGUGAGAGUACCCGAAGAAAAAGCAUCGGCUAACUCCGUGCCAGCAGCCGCGGUAAUACGGAGGAUGCGAGCGUUAUCCGGAUUUAUUGGGUUUAAAGGGUGCGCAGGCGGAUUUUUAAGUCAGCGGUCAAAUCGUGGGGCUCAACCCCAUCCAGCCGUUGAAACUGGGGAUCUAGAGUGUGCGAGAGGUAUGCGGAAUGCGUGGUGUAGCGGUGAAAUGCGUAGAUAUUAGGAGGAACACCAGUGGCGAAGGCGGCCUGCUGGACGACAACUGACGGUGAGGCGCGAAAGCGUGGGGAGCAAACAGGAUUAGAUACCCUGGUACU